GUGAGGAAUAUUGGUCAAUGGGCGAGAGCCUGAACCAGCCAAGUAGCGUGCAGGAUGACGGCCCUAUGGGUUGUAAACUGCUUUUACACGGGGAUAAAGUGGUCGACGUGUCGUCCAUUGCAGGUACCGUGCGAAUAAGGACCGGCUAAUUCCGUGCCAGCAGCCGCGGUAAUACGGAAGGUCCAGGCGUUAUCCGGAUUUAUUGGGUUUAAAGGGAGCGUAGGCCGUCUGUUAAGCGUGUUGUGAAAUGUAGAUGCUCAACAUCUGAAUUGCAGCGCGAACUGACAGACUUGAGUGCGCAGGAAGUAGGCGGAAUUCGUGGUGUAGCGGUGAAAUGCUUAGAUAUCACGAAGAACUCCGAUUGUGAAGGCAGCUUACUGUAGCGCCACUGACGCUGAAGCUCGAAAGUGCGGGUAUCGAACAGGAUUAGAUACCCUUGUAGUCC
rnacentral:rRNA from 1 species